GUCCCAUAGAGACCCCCAAACCCCACAGUGCCCCAUAGAGACCCCAUAGAGCCCCCCAAACCCCAGAGACCACACAGAGCCCCCAUAGAGACCCACAGUGCACCAUAGAGACCCCAUAGAGACCCACAGUGCCCCAUAGAAGCCCCAUAGAGACCCACAGUGCCCCAUAGAGACCCCAUAGAGACCCACAGUGCCCCAUAGAGACCCACAGAGACCCGCAAUGCCCCAUAGAGACCCCAUAGAGACCGACAGUGCCCCAUAGAGCCCCAUAGAGACCGACAGUGCCCCAUAGAGCCCCACAGAGCCCCACAGUGCCCCAUAGAGACCCCAUAGAGACCCACACUGCCCCAUAGAGCCCCACAGAGACCCGCAAUGCCCCAUAGAGACCGACAGUGCCCCAUAGAGACCCACACUGCCCCAUAGAGCCCCAUAGAGACCCACAGUGCCCCAUAGAGACCCCGAAACCCCAUAGAGACUCCACAGAGCCCCCAUAGAGCCCCAUAGAGACCCACAGUGUCCCAUAGAGACCCCAUAGAGACCCCAUAGAUACCCACAGUGCCCCAUAGAGCCCCGCAAACCCCACAGAGACCCCAAAGAGACCCAAAGUGCCCCAUAGAGCCCCAUAGAGACCCACAGUGUCCCAUAGAGCCCCAUAGAGACCCACAGUGCCCCAUAGAGCCCCAUAGAGACCCCAUAGAGACCCACAGUGCCCCAUAGAGACCCCGAAACCCCAUAGAGACCCCACAGAGCCCCCAUAGAGACCCCAUAGAGACCCAAAGUGCCCCAUAGAGCCCCAUAGAGACCCACAGUGUCCCAUAGAGCCCCAUAGAGACCCACAGUGCCCCAUAGGGACCCAUAGAGACCCCAUAGAAACCCCCAAACCCCACAGAGACCCCACAGAGCCCCCAUAGAGACCCACAGUGCCCCAUAGAGACCCCCAAACCCCACAGAGACCCCAUAGAGACCCAAAGUGCCCCAUAGAAACCCCAUAGAGCCCCCCAAACCCCAAAGUGCCCCAUAGAGCCCCCAUAGAGACCCACAGUGCCCCAUAGAGCCCCAUAGAGACCCACAGUGCCCCAUAGAGACCCCAUAGAGACCCCACAGAGCCCCCAUAGAGACCCACAGAGCCCCAUAGAGACCCCAGAGACUCACAGUGCCCCAUAGAGACCCCCAAACCCCACAGAGACCCCAUACAGACCCCACAGUGCCCCAUAGAGACCCCAUAGAGCCCCCCAAACCCCACAGAGACCCCAUAGAGACCCAAAGUGCCCCAUAGAGACCCCAUAGAGACCCCAUAGAGACUCACAGUGCCCCAUAGAGACCC
ensembl:lncRNA